GCCACGUGGCAGGUCCCGGUUGGCCGGGACUGCUGACUGGGUCUGCUGACGUGGCAU
rnacentral:pre_miRNA from 1 species